AGCGAACGCUGGCGGCAUGCCUAACACAUGCAAGUCGCACGGGGGGGCUUCGGCCUCCCAGUGGCGGACGGGUGAGGAACGCGUAGGGACCUGUCGAGGGGUGGGGGAUAACCGCGGGAAACUGCGGCUAAUACCGCAUGACGCCGCGGCGUGACAGCCGGGGCCAAAGGCGAAAGCCGCCCGCCGAGGGGCCUGCGUCCGAUUAGCUGGUUGGCGGGGUAGCGGCCCACCAAGGCGUCGAUCGGUAGCUGGUCUGAGAGGGUGAUCAGCCACACCGGGACUGAGACACGGCCCGGACUCCUACGGGAGGCAGCAGUGGGGAAUAUUGGACAAUGGGCGCAAGCCUGAUCCAGCAAUGCCGCGUGGGUGAAGAAGGUCUUCGGAUUGUAAAGCCCUAUCGGCGGGGACGAUGGUGACGGUACCCGCAGAAGAAGCCCCGGCUAACUUCGUG
rnacentral:rRNA from 1 species